UCGGCAACCAUGUUCAUGAUGGCUGCAGACGCCAAUGUGUCGAGUCCAUUUAGCUCAUUGUCGAGAGUGCUUCGAAAGAUUUCGGCAUGUUAUUAGCAUUAAUCAGUGCUCAAAAAAACACAUACGUGCUUCUCCAAAUAAGGAGAACUUAAAGCAUCGGCGGUUUGUCAUAGGGCUCACCGGAUGCUGACGAAGAGACUAAGAGCAAUCUUCCAUUAGCACCAGAGGGAAUGAACAAGGCGGCUCCAGUUCCUGGUAUUGCUGAAUCUGUGGGAGACAUCAAAAGACGCUAUGAAGACACGGCGCAGGUCCUGUUCCAGGAGCGUCGCGAGAAACAACGACCUUCGAGUUUUCUUUCCUAUGGAGAGACGAAGAAGUGCUACGCGUACAGUGGCACGGGAAAGCCGUACGUCGACGUGAAGGAAGGAGUUCGUGCUGACCAGCAGUCAUUUCAGAGUCAGGUUUGCAGCAUCAUGUAGUGGUGGCUUAACACUGCAGUCGUCACAGUGACCAAAAAUAGAGGCCCGAAGGCAGCAUAUGUUUGUUCUCUCUCUCUCUUUUCUUUUUUUUUUUUUUUUUGGGGGGGGGGGGGUAUGGGAGCAUGUUAUUGACACAGUUCCGCCCAUUGUGAUCCACGGCCUGCAGCUUUUAGCAGGCCCAAUCUAGUCUUUCUCUUGGAACUGUUCACUUGAUGCUUUAAGUUUGCCGGCCCAUUUCUUCAACUCAUGCAAACCACGCAUGCCUCGAAUCGACGCCGCUGUGUGUUUGGUGACCUGUUCUUAUUGAUAAGCAGACGCUUCAUUGCUGCAACAGACACUUAUGUGCCAUCUGCAAAGGCGGUGGCACUAUGUGUUUUCUGCAUGUAAAGACUUUUUUCCCCAAGCACUUUUUACAACAUUUUCUGCACAUGGUAUGUUAGUGUUCUGUGGUGUUGAAAACGCAGAUCACAACUCUUUUUAGUCUCCUGAUCCUCGGUUUGUGUCCUUUUAAAUAGAUCAAAGACUGCGUUUCCUUCUGUGUGUGUUACAGUGCUGAAAGGAAGGUGAUCAUGCCCAUUUGUUUUUCUGUUGGUAUGCUUUGUGUACCGAAAUGGAGCCACUGUGAAAUGAACUGCAAAGACCAAAGGUAAACAGACCACGGUUUGCGAUACGAGUGCACUGGCAUGUGGGAAUUGGGGCAUACACAGUGUGCCCAUGUGAAUUCGUGACCCUGGUAAACUUGUGCACGAGUACAACAUGUUCCUUAAAUCCUACAAUACCACAUGACAGUGUCGCCUUGAUUUAAAAGCAGUGUGCCGUUUACCCCAUAGUACAAGAUGCUGAAAUGUUUAUUGUUCUGAUAUUGUGUGUGGUGCGCGAGCUCUGUAAAACAUGUUGCUACUGUGCACAGUCGAAAACAAACAAAGGUUAUCGUGUGUGCUUGUCUCUUUGUCCAGAGUGGAAUAGUGAAAAAUGUGGGCGGGAAAAAAAUGUGAAGCUAUUACUUCUUGGUAAUACUCGCACAUGUUGGGUGUCACUGUUGCAAGCAGCAAUGUGAAAACAAAUAAUGAAAUUAGUGUGGCUAGUUGCCCCUUUUCUAGAAAAUUGCAUUUUACGUGCAGGGUACUGAAGAAAAUUGUCCAAAGCGCAGUUAAUGUGCAAUGCCAAAAUUCUUGAAUUAUCCAAAACUAACUCUUAAUGUGCCAAUAAGCUAGUAUGAUUGCAUUUCUAUUUGCCUCAAGCUGCUCUCAAAGUUUUUUCAACAGAAUGGUUCACAAUAGCCAGCGUCUCCAGUAUCUCCACCAUGAUGUACAGGAAGCAAUUAAAAAAAUGCUAUCGAGUUGCAGUUUUAUGCACAAAAUAGUGGGGAGGGACAAGGUGAUGCAUUAUUGUAAAAGAGCUGCUAAUCUUUUACAAUGAUGGUUCGCCUGAUGGUUUGCCAAUUGUGGAAUUAAGAUAUUGUGCUACUCCAUGGAAGUUUAGUCGAGACAUCUGUCUCCUUUCCCAUUUCCGUCAACUCUUAAAGAGCCCCUCGGCAGGCCCUGUCGGAAAUUUUGGUGUACACCAAGAGUUAUAUAAAGGGUCAUCCAGGGAGUGCUCUACCAGAGUAAUUUUUAAAAAGGGUUUGCUAGUAGCCGAGCUAGAAGCAAAGAGAUGUUAUAAAGCAGUGGCCUGAGGAGGCAAGCUAACUUCCCAUACGGAGGCUCUCUCUACUUGCCUCGGCAAGUGCCCACAGGCAGCAUUCAUAUACCUCCUUGUAUUUUGUCGCAAUCAAUGACUUAGUCAACCUCCCUUCUUGCUGCAUUUCGAGAGAAUUCUGCAUACUCUGCUCUUCACAGGAGUCCCAGAUUUGUUCCCACUGCUGUUGGCUCUGUACGCUGCAGACAGCAUGCGUGUGAUGUGAAAGCACCAUGCGCGUAAUGUAAUCUUGCUCACAGCCACAGUGGCUCUCUAUAGAUGAGAAGUGUGCAGGCUUUUGUUAGAAUUUUCAGUUGUAUUCGCAGUGUACAUCAGUGUAACACUUUGCAGGCGCAAUCACCAUCGUGUGAUUACGCACCGCAAUUUGUUUGCAAUGCAAAAACCUGAUGAGAGGGGAUCUUUAAGGGAAGGUUUGCCUUGGUGAAUGUAGUAAUGUGGAGGUUGAAAUAUACUCUUACUGCUAACACAUGAAAUGACGAUGGAAACACCCAUGCAUUUUCUUAAAAUGUGCAGAAGAAUGCAAGCCUGUUAUUUUUCUCCUGAAAUGUAUGUGAAGUUUUUUAGAAUCAACUUUGACAAUAUUUCUCAUACACACGAAAGCAGCAUUAUCUUUUCUAUUAUGCAGAGAAAUCAGACACUAGUUAUAGUGCAAGUUGAGAGAAAAAAAAACAACUAGUGGUCAUGAUGAUGGAACUUAGGCACUUUUGCAUAAUUUUUAGCUUCCUCUUUUGUGAAUGUAUUAAAAUGUAUUUGAAAAAAAUAAUAACUGUGUGUGAAGUCUAGCAAGUGCCACAGUGAUUAGUCCUGCAUCAUGCAAAGCUCAAUUAUAAAUGCACUUUACAUUUGAUGCCUGCUGCACCCUAGCGAAGCUGCAUGUAUGCUUCAGAAGAACCAGACGCAUGCAAUGAUUAACACCGGGUAAACAAAAAAUCCUCAGCCUGGAGCCAACAUUUCACCAAAGGGAAAUGUCAAAGGGUUUCAGCAAGUCCCUUUGUCGAAAACGUCAGUUCCAGGCUGCAGCUUUCCUUGUUCGCCCAGUGAUAGUUGCGUCGAGUCGGCACCUUCCUGUGACCACUUUGUCUUGUUUGUAUCGGCAACAUGCAAGUCACACAAGCUGUUGCUCGUCUUUCAGUUUGAGCUAUGCAUGACUGAAAUGGGCUUUCCAGUUUGUAUGUGGCAAUAUUUGAACUUGCAUCUUACCACAAGGUUGUUUGUUGUUCCUUUAGCUCAAGCAACAUCAGAACCUUUGAAGGGCACAGAACUUUUGCCAAAUAUUUAGCACCUGUGUAUGGGAGACUGGGUAACAGAAGGGUGUGUCGGCCUCAUUCCAGAGCUGUGCGUGCAGGAUUUCUAUUUAAUGUGCCUGAUUUAUAUAAAUCACCUGUACCUAAGAGUACUUCCAUACUUUCCUGUAUGAAUGCUGAAAGUUUUCACAACUUAUCGGAUAAAAAGGGUAGGAACACAUACAGUUGAACCCGGAUAUAUCAAAUCUGAAGGGGAUCACAAAAAAGUUGAAUAUAUAGGUAAUUCGAUAUAUAAAAUAAUAGGCCCUAAGGCAAACAAACGGUGGCCUUACCGAUUGGUGCAUCCGAGGGCCGCGGAGUUACUGCCCGCAACUCGGCAAAAAAAAAAGCAAGCACACUUUAUUUACUUGCAAAAAAUUGCUGGAUCACUUUCAGCUUCUUUGCAAAGUCCAAGUUGAUUCUUUUCAUUAUGCUUGCAGCGACCAUCGCUUGCUGAAAAUGAACUCGCAAAUAGGCACUCAACCCACACGACGACGCCACGAAAAUCGGAAAGAAGUAAUGGUGACGUUCUAGGUAGCAAGUGGGCUAGCCGAACAGCUCGACGGGGCUCAACUGACUGCACAUUCUCUUCUCCACCUCCAGGUGCCAGAAGACGAAGUGUGCACAAAGAAGUGCACUAUGAGGUUUUCGGCGUGGCACCGCGUUCAAUAUAUCGAAUGUGCUGGUGAGCGGGCGUUCUAUAUACGCAUGCACCAGCCCUAUACAUUUACAUGGGAUUUUCAAGGCGAUUUUACAGCUGUUCAAUGUACACAAUAAUUUGUUAUAAGUGGGUUCGAUAAAUUCGGGUUCGACUGUAUCUGCAUUUGAGGCAAAAUUGUAGGGUACCAUGUAGCAAGUUAGGGCAGUGGUCCUUUUCUUUAUUUUUUUUAACAUACUAAAUUUGGUUUUCUGUGCACACUUGCGGCUUCAGUCACAAUAGUUUGUAAGGAAUUCGCAGCAGAUGCCAAAACAGGAAGUCACACAUGAGGCAACCACAAUUGCGCUGAUCAUGAGUUUUGUGCUAGAUCUGUGGACUUAGGAUUUUCAUUGAAAUUUUCUAAGUACUUGUCUUGCUGCAUCAACUUGUAAUAGAAGUUCUCAAUGUUCACUUUGAUGCAGCAGGUUUAAUCUCUCGUUUUAUGUGCACCACUCUUUAAGGUGCACCUAGUGCCUUUUUCACUUGCAGUUUGAUCUAUUACUUCUUGCUGCUAGCAGUCUCUAAAGAGGUUUCAAAAAUCUUUGAACCUUAUCCACAGUGCAAAAAUACAUUUAGAAUCUGUCCGAAUCCUGGUUUUGUAGCUUGAGAAACAACAGGAAAUGCUUAGCUAUUUUCAGUCCAGCAUGGGAAGUCAUAGGAAGUUUGUGCAAAGGAGCAAAAUUCUUUGUCAUCUUUGCUUCGGCAGUGGCUGUGCUAUCAAUGCACACCAUGGCCGUUUGCUUUAUUAGAAGCAGUGGCUGAGAUAUUUAAAGGUUGUUUCAUAUAAGUUGUAGCAGUGUGUUACCGCCCCAGACCUUUCAGUCAGGAACAGUGGCACACAUUGAAACAAAAUUUGUCUUUGAAGAGCGCAGUAGAUGUCCAAGGCUACACAGUAAGCAGGCAAGAGUGCAUUGUAACAAUUUGAGAGGUUCCCCGUUGAAGUAUUGAGCCAGUGGAGAUGAAACUGCAGCAGUUUAAAGGCACACUAAAGAGACACGUUAAACCAGUUUACACCAACAAAGUAUUCUUUAAAAAAUAUGUUCGUUAAUUUCUUGUAAGUGGUUGAUUGCUAGAAGAAAAAAAUGGGGACCAAUGUUACAUUUUUUUUAAAUUUUGCACUGAAACCCAAUGCUGGUAUGUCAGUGUGACAUGGAUUUCGAAGCAGUUUGUCAUAUUUGGGCCAUUGGGGUGCAGUAAAAGUGUUCUAAACUUGCCAAGUUCAGUCUCUGGCUCCUUUAGAAUGUAAUGUAGUCCAUCUUUACAGAUUAAGUAGGUCUAAGCAGGCGCUGUCAAAAUCCAUGAUGUCACAACGAGCUAGUGUGGUAACGUCACGGCGGUGUUGCCACCAGUCUUUCGUUUUUUGCAUCUAUUCUGGCUUGCCAAACCUCCUCAUGGUAAGAGUGGCGUUUUAUAGAAUUGUAGAAGGGUAAUUUAAUAAUGCAGCUCAAAUUAACUUUCUCUUCAGUGUCCCUUUAAUGUUCACUGCCUGUUCUCUGCAGUUCAUUCACCACCAAAUUGUUGUGGCCUAUAUUAGCAUUCUUGAGGUGCUAGCAAAUUUUGCUAGUAAAUUUCUUUGAUAUGCUUACUACGCAGAUGUAGCCACAUAGCUGUAGAACAGCACAUACUAUUAAACACAACAUGCACUGUAAUACAUUGUCGUAGCAUCACUGUUCAUGUAGUGCGGUACACAUUUAUCAGAACCUGCAUGACAGAAUACAGUGUCUCCACAUACAGGUUGCUAAUAAUGGUACGGUGACUUGUUUUGCAGCGCAUGAAAAAAAGCAGUAUAUUAGAAAUGAGUGAGUGUGGGUUGCUGUAGCACUCAGUGGCCGAUUCAGUAAUGUGUCGUGGAGCUGUUUGGUAUAUCAUGUUAAAAAUCCUCGUGUGGUCAAAAUCAAUCUAACCCCCCAUUAUAGUAUCCAUUGUAGUCCCACUGUGCAAAUUCAAGAUGUUAAACCCUGCAAUUUUUUUUGUGCACGCUGACUUAUAAAAAGAACAGAGCAGUAGAUGACACUAUAGUAGAAGAUACAAACUGCUUGACAACUGCUUCUUAUUCUCUGUGUAAUAUCAGUGUUAGAAUAUAGCUACAUUGCAGUCAAAUCUGGCUAUUUUCAGUCCAUCCAGGCUACCAAAAAAAUUAUGAUCUGUCUAUGACUACAUGAAUCCCCAAAUUUUUUGUAUAUCUAGCUUCCUUGAAAAUUUCUUUUGUAGCUACUUCUAGUGCAUGACAACCUGGUGCCUUGCUGACCUUCGAGUAAAACACCCAUGGCAUGAUGCAUGGUGCAGCUGGCUGGCAUGAUGACAGGUAGCUGCUCGGCAAGCACAUCACAGUUGCCCCAAAUAUGAGGGGGCAAGAAGACACACGCUCUUGCGAUACUUUGUCGGUUAAUCGGGGACACUCGGAUGGCAAAACACGGUGUUAUGAACCUGGAUACAGCUUCUGGUGCUUCCAUUUCUCUUUGCAAACCAAGUAAUGUCUCCAACCAGGUGGUUUUAUUUGACCCAAUGUUUUUGCGCCAACCCUGCACCUUCCUCAGGGGUUGACAACAGAUUGGAAGCAGUGCAGCUUUAAACAAAGUACAAAAGAAGCUUGACAAGAAGCGAGGGACUGCGCAAAGAGCGAUAGAACGAGAAAUUAUAGGUGUAACUUUAAGAGAUGGUAAGACAGCGGUGUGGAUUAGAGAGCUAACGGUGGAGCCGACAUUCUAGUUGAAAUUAAGAGAAAGAAAUGGAGUUGGGCAGCCAUUGUAACGCAUAGAGCAGGUGGCAGGUGGUCAAUUAGAAAUUUGCACAGGCAUAAGAAGGGGUCAGUUGGUGCAGACAGGGGUAAUCGGAGGUCAAUGAGACAGCCUGUCAUCCUAUAGUGGACAUAAAAUAGGCGAAUGAUGAUGAAAGUACAAAGAAGGCUACUGAGGACAGACAUCUAUAAUUUUCUGGUGCAGUCUUACUUUUUCCGGGAUAUUCUAGAUGAGCGAGUAAGGCAAAGGAGGGUGCAUACGUAAGGGGGAAGCAGCAGUGGUGACAUCGCUGGGGAUACCGUUGCAAUGCAUUACCUCAUCUGUAAGUAAGUGAACGAAACAAAUUGUGCUUUGUGAAAAAUUCAUGUACACUUAAAAAGCUAUCGAUUGCUGUUUGAAAUAUUGUCCUAUAGUAUGCGCACUUUCCACUAGGGGGACAAUAAUGGAUAUUUUCUUUAUUGCCGCUGGCAUAGCUCUACUUUUAACUUUGUUCAUUUCUUCGUGCUUAUUGUUGCCUUUAUUAUCAAGUUUGUGUGCUAGUACAUUUUGCUUGUGUUAUGUGCAUGCUUUUCUUUUUCUUGCUUUUUCGCAUUCUCUUUAAUUAUCGCCUAUUACACCUGGAGUAGCAUGCAGAGCCUGUUGCUAGACUCUCCCUCCUAGACCCUCCUGUUUCAUUAACCUUUCUGACUCACAUGUGCUUUUUGUGACAUACUGGUUGAUGGGUAUGGUUUCUUUGUGAUACAUUCUUGGAAUAUGCAAGCUUUGUAGGCUAUGGGCAGCCUACACGAUAAAAAUAAAUGUGGAGUUGAGGCUAUUGUCUAAGGCUAGAGGUAUGAGGCGACACAGCAACUUCUUUCAGAGUAGUCUCUAGCUCAGAACACCGAAAAUUGCAAAAUAUACAUAUUUUUGUCCACUAGUGUAUACGGCAGCACAUGACAAGAAGAAAAAGAUGUGGUGCCAGACAGCAGUUCACCAGCCACUGUUUCUCUUUGUGAGCGUGGUUUUUAUUGUGCAGUGCAUUGACCACGAACCAUGCUGUUUGUGCAUUCUUUUGUUUUGUUCCAAAAUCACUUUUACUGAAUGAUUUGAUGAAAGUCGCCACUUUCUGAGCUGAUUUCUAUGCAAAACGUUAAUAAACCUUUACAUUAGUUCAA